rnacentral:rRNA from 1 species
UACGUAGGGGGCAAGCGUUGUCCGGAUUUAUUGGGCGUAAAGAGCGUGUAGGCGGCUAUACAGGUCCGUUGUGAAAACUCGAGGCUCAACCUCGAGACGCCGAUGGAAACUGUAUGGCUAGAGUCCGGAAGAGGAGAGCGGAAUUCCUGGUGUAGCGGUGAAAUGCGCAGAUAUCGGGAAGAACACCCGUGGCGAAGGCGGUUCUCUGGGACGGUACUGACGCUGAGACGCGAAAGCGUGGGGAGCGAACAGG